rnacentral:rRNA from 1 species
GACGAACGCUGGCGGCGUGCUUAACACAUGCAAGUCGAGCGGAGCGGCGUACGGGUGAGUAACGCGGGAGUAACUGCCACCCUCUCUGGGAUAACAGUUGGAAACGGCUGCUAAUACCGGAUAGUGGGGGUUGAGACGCGUCCUAUCAGCUUGUUGGUGGUGUAGUGGCCUACCAAGGCGACGACGGGUAGCCGGCCUGGGAGGGCGACCGGCCACAUUGGGCUGAGAUACGGCCCAAACGCCAACGGGAGGCAGCAGGGGGGAAUAGUGCACACUGGGGGAAACCCGGAUGCAGCAACGCCGCGUGGGGGAUGACUGCCUUCGGGUUGUAAACCGCUUUCAGCCAUGACGCGGUAGUGGCAGAGGAAGCACCGGCUAACUACGUGCCAGCAGCCGCGGUAAUUC